CCCGCCCCGCCCGGCACCGAGGGGGGGGGAACCGGAAACCAGGGGGCGACCGACCCCCCCAGGGGGGCUACCGGGGCGGGGGCGGGGCCCGACGGCAAGGCCGUGACGUCAGCGACCCCCCCGAUGACAUCAUCCGCCUCCCCGAUGACAUCAUCGACCCCCCCGAUGACAUCAUCAACAACGACGGCGACGACAACGUCAACGAUGACGUCGACGAUGACGUCAGCGCCCCCCGUGACGUCACCGAAGGCGUCGACGGCGGUGACAUCAUCAGGGCCCGCGGGGGCGUCGCCCGUGACGUCAUCGAAGACGCCAGUGACGUCAUCGGCGCCGUCUACGACGUCAUCGGCGCCGUCCAAGGCCGCGGUGACCUCAGCGGGGUCAUCAGUGACAUCAUCGGUGACGUCGAAGCCCUCGGUGACGUCACCAGGGCCGGCGGUGACAUCAGCGGCGUCGAAGGCAGCAGUGACAUCACCAGGGGCGGCGGUGACGUCAUCGAUGACAUCAGCAGCAGCGUCCAAGGCGGCGGUGACCUCAUCGGGGCCGGCGAUGACAUCAGCAGCGACGUCAAAGCCCGCAGUGACCUCAGCAGGGCCGUCAGUGACGUCAUUGAUGACAUCAGCAGCGGCGUCAAAGACCUCAGCGGGGCCGCCGAUGACGUCAUCAGUGACGUCAAAGCCCUCGGUGACCUCAUCGGGGCCGGCGGUGACAUCAUCGGUGACAUCACCCGGGACGUCACCAUCCGUGACGUCAUCCCUGACAUCAUCCGUGACGUCAACCUCAUCGAUGACAUCAUCGGUGACGUCAUCACCCGCAGCCACGCCCUCGAAGCCGCCGGCCCCGCCCUCCCCCGUCACAUCNNNNNNNNNNNNNNNNNNNNNNNNNNNNNNNNNNNNNNNNNNNNNNNGCCCCUCCCCUGUGGCCACCAACCUCACCAAGGCCCCCCCGGCCACCCCGGGGGCCACCAAGGUCGCUGUGGCUACCGGCGGCGCCCCCCGGGCUACUAACGUCACCCCUGUGGCUACUAACGUCACCCCCAAGGCCACCGUGGACGGCGGCGCCCCCGUGGCCACCAGCGGCGCCCCCGUGGCCACUAAUGUCACCCCCAAGGCCACCGCUGUCGCUGGCACCCCGGGGGCCACCAACGUCACCCCGGGGGCCACCAACGUCUCCGUGGCCACCAACGUCUCCAUGGGGGCCACCAACGUCUCCGUGGCCACCAACGCCACCCCGGGGGCCACCAACGUCUCCGUGGCCACCGUUGUCACCCCGGGGGCCACCAACGUCUCCGUGGGGGCUACUAACUCCACCGUGGCCACCGUUGUCACCCCAGGGGCCACCAAAGCCACCGUGGCCACCAACGCCACCCUGGGGGCCACCAACGCCACCGUGGCCACCACCCUCACCCCAGUGGCCACCAAAGCCACCGCAGGGGUCGCCGUGGACUCUGUCACCCCAGUGGCCACCAAAGCCACCCCGGGGGCCACUGUUGUCACCCCCGGGGCCACCAAAGCCCCCGUGGGGGCCACCACGCUUGUCACCCCCGUGGCCACCAAGGUCACCGUGGACUCUGGGCCCUCGGGGGCCACCGUAGGGGCCACUAAGGCCCCCGUGGCCACCAACGUCACCCCCGUGGCCACCAACAUCGUCCCCAAGGCCGCCGUGGAUUCUGUCACCCCCGGGGCCACCAAAGCCAUCGGAGGGGCCACCGUGGCCACCAUCAGCACCCCAGGGGCCACCGUGGCCACCGUCGUCACCCCAGGGGCCACCAAGCCCCCCGUGGCCACCAACCUCACCCCGGGGGCCAUCACUGCUGCCAUGGGGGCCACCAAGGCCAGCGUGGCCACCAACGUCACCCCCAAGGCCAGCGUGGCCACCAUCCCCCCUGCGGUGGCCACCGCUGUGACUGGUCCCAGGGAUGGCCCCAGGGCUACCAACGCCACCCCCGUGGCCACCAGUGUCCCCUCCGUGGCCACCAGCGCUCCCAAGGCCACCCCUGCAGCCACCGUGGCCACCAGCGUCACCCCAGUGGCCACCAGCGUCGCCGUCGCUCCCAAGGCCACCAACGUCCCCACCGUGGCCACCAGUUUGACCAGUGGCCCCAGGGCCACCAACCUCUCUGCGGUGGCCACCAGCGUCCCCACCGUGGCCACCAGUGUCACCAGUAUCAACGCUGGAGCUACCGGUGCCACCUCCGUGGCCACCAACGUCCCCGCUGUGGCCACCAACCUCCCUGCUGUGGCCACCACCGUCCGCGCUGUGGCCACCAGUGUCCCCUCCGUGGCCACCAGCGUUAAGGCCACCGCUCCGGCCGGUGUCACCGUCACCCCCGUGGCCACCAGUGUCCCCUCCGUGGCCACCAGCGCUCCCAAGGCCACCCCUGCAGCCACCGUGGCCACCAGCGUCACCCCAGUGGCCACCAGCGUCGCCGUCGCUCCCAAGGCCACCAACGUCCCCACCGUGGCCACCAGUUUGACCAGUGGCCCCAGGGCCACCAACCUCUCUGCGGUGGCCACCAGCGUCCCCACCGUGGCCACCAGUGUCACCAGUAUCAACGCUGGAGCUACCGGUGCCACCUCCGUGGCCACCAACGUCCCCGCUGUGGCCACCAACCUCCCUGCUGUGGCCACCACCGUCCGCGCUGUGGCCACCAGUGUCACCAGUAUCAACGCUGGAGCUACUGGGGCCACCGCCGUGGCCACCAACGUCCCCAAUGUGGCCACCAGUAUGACCAGUGUCAAUGCUGGAGCUACUGGUGCCACCCCCGUGGCCACCAACGUCUCUGAUGUGGCCACCAACGUCCCCAAAGUGGCCACCAACGUCUCUGCUGUGGCCACCAGUAUGACCAGUAUCAACUCUGGAGCCACCCCCGUGGCCACCAACGUCUCUGAUGUGGCCACCAACGUCCCCAAAGUGGCCACCAACGACCCCAAAGUGGCCACCACCGUCUCCGAUGUGGCCACCACCGUCCCCAAAGUGGCCACCAGUGUCCCCAGUAUCAACUCUGGAGCUACUGGGGCCACCCCCGCCCCCUCCGUGGCCAGUGACGUCGCCCCCGUGGCCACCGGCCCCGCCCCGGCCCCGCCCCCUAAAGGCG
rnacentral:lncRNA from 1 species